rnacentral:rRNA from 1 species
AGGAUGAACGCUGGCGGCGUGCCUAACACAUGCAAGUCGAACGUCCUGUCUCGCAAGAGGCAGGGAGUGGCGGACGGGUGAGUACCACGUGGGUUAUCUACCGUGAGGUGAGGAAUACCGGCGAGAAAUCGCCGACAAGACCGCAUAGCCUCGGUGCAAGCCGAGGAAAGCUUUCUCGAGAGAGGGAGCGCCACACGAGGAGCCUGCGCCCGAUUAGCUAGCUGGUGGAGUAACGGUUCACCAGGGCGACGAUCGGUAGCUGGUCUGAGAGGACGAUCAGCCACACUGGGAUUGAGAACGGCCCAGACUCCUACGGGGGGCAGCAGUGAGGAAUUUUCGUCAAUGGGGGCAACCCUGAACGAGCAACGCCGCGUGCAGGAAGAGGUUUUCGGAUCGUAAACUGUCUUUUCGUCGGGGAAGAGAACGGACGGUACCCGAGGAAUCAGCCCGGCUAACUACGCGCCAGCAGCCGCGGUAA